UACGUAGGGGGCAAGCGUUGUCCGGAAUCAUUGGGCGUAAAGCGAGCGUAGGCGGCCCGAUAAGUCUGCUGUAAAAGUCAACGGCUCAACCGUUGAAAGCCGGUGGAUACUGUCGGGCUAGAGUUCGGAAGAGGCAAGUGGAAUUCCUGGUGUAGCGGUGGAAUGCGCAGAUAUCAGGAGGAACACCUAUAGCGAAGGCAGCUUGCUGGGACGAUACUGGACGC
rnacentral:rRNA from 1 species